AGAGUUUGAUCAUGGCUCAGAUUGAACGCUGGCGGCAGGCCUAACACAUGCAAGUCGAACGGUAACAGAAAGCAGCUUGCUGCUUUGCUGACGAGUGGCGGACGGGUGAGUAAUGUCUGGGAAACUGCCCGAUGGAGGGGGAUAACUACUGGAAACGGUAGCUAAUACCGCAUAACGUCGCAAGACCAAAGAGGGGGACCUUAGGGCCUCUUGCCAUCGGAUGUGCCCAGAUGGGAUUAGCUAGUAGGUGGGGUAAAGGCUCACCUAGGCGACGAUCCCUAGCUGGUCUGAGAGGAUGACCAGCCACACUGGAACUGAGACACGGUCCAGACUCCUACGGGCGGCAGCAGUGGGGAAUAUUGCACAAUGGGCGCAAGCCUGAUGCAGCCAUGCCGCGUGUAUGAAGAAGGCCUUCGGGUUGUAAAGUACUUUCAGCGGGGAGGAAGGGAGUAAAGUUAAUACCUUUGCUCAUUGACGUUACCCGCAGAAGAAGCACCGGCUAACUCCGUGCCAGCAGCCGCGGUAAUACGGAGGGUGCAAGCGUUAAUCGGAAUUACUGGGCGUAAAGCGCACGCAGGCGGUUUGUUAAGUCAGAUGUGAAAUCCCCGGGCUCAACCUGGGAACUGCAUCUGAUACUGGCAAGCUUGAGUCUCGUAGAGGGGGGUAGAAUUCCAGGUGUAGCGGUGAAAUGCGUAGAGAUCUGGAGGAAUACCGGUGGCGAAGGCGGCCCCCUGGACGAAGACUGACGCUCAGGUGCGAAAGCGUGGGGAGCAAACAGGAUUAGAUACCCUGGUAGUCCACGCCGUAAACGAUGUCGACUUGGAGGUUGUGCCCUUGAGGCGUGGCUUCCGGAGCUAACGCGUUAAGUCGACCGCCUGGGGAGUACGGCCGCAAGGUUAAAACUCAAAUGAAUUGACGGGGGCCCGCACAAGCGGUGGAGCAUGUGGUUUAAUUCGAUGCAACGCGAAGAACCUUACCUGGUCUUGACAUCCACGGAAGUUUUCAGAGAUGAGAAUGUGCCUUCGGGAACCGUGAGACAGGUGCUGCAUGGCUGUCGUCAGCUCGUGUUGUGAAAUGUUGGGUUAAGUCCCGCAACGAGCGCAACCCUUAUCCUUUGUUGCCAGCGGUCCGGCCGGGAACUCAAAGGAGACUGCCAGUGAUAAACUGGAGGAAGGUGGGGAUGACGUCAAGUCAUCAUGGCCCUUACGACCAGGGCUACACACGUGCUACAAUGGCGCAUACAAAGAGAAGCGACCUCGCGAGAGCAAGCGGACCUCAUAAAGUGCGUCGUAGUCCGGAUUGGAGUCUGCAACUCGACUCCAUGAAGUCGGAAUCGCUAGUAAUCGUGGAUCAGAAUGCCACGGUGAAUACGUUCCCGGGCCUUGUACACACCGCCCGUCACACCAUGGGAGUGGGUUGCAAAAGAAGUAGGUAGCUUAACCUUCGGGAGGGCGCUUACCACUUUGUGAUUCAUGACUGGGGUGAAGUCGUAACAAGGUAACCGUAGGGGAACCUGCGGUUGGAUCACCU
rnacentral:rRNA from 1 species